rnacentral:rRNA from 1 species
UACGUAGGGUGCAAGCGUUGUUCGGAAUUACUGGGCGUAAAGGGCUCGUAGGCGGCCAACUAAGUCAGACGUGAAAUCCCUCGGCUUAACCGGGGAACUGCCUCUGAUACUGGAUGGCUUGAGAUUGGGAGAGGGAUGCGGAAUUCCAGGUGUAGCGGUGAAAUGCGUAGAUAUCUGGAGGAACACCGGUGGCGAAGGCGGCAUCCUGGACCAACACUGACGCUGAGGAGCGAAAGCCAGGGGAGCAAACGGG